rnacentral:rRNA from 1 species
GACGAACGCUGGCGGCGUGCUUAACACAUGCAAGUCGAACGGAAAGGCCUUUUCGGAGGUACUCGAGUGGCGAACGGGUGAGUAACACGUGGGUGAUCUGCCCUGCACUCUGGGAUAAGCCUGGGAAACUGGGUCUAAUACCGGAUAGGACCGCACUUUAGUGUGUGUGGUGGAAAGUUUUUUCGGUGUAGGAUGAGCCCGCGGCCUAUCAGCUUGUUGGUGGGGUAAUGGCCUACCAAGGCGGCGACGGGUAGCCGGACUGAGAGGUUGGUCGGCCACAUUGGGACUGAGAUACGGCCCAGACUCCUACGGGAGGCAGCAGUGGGGAAUAUUGCACAAUGGGCGCAAGCCUGAUGCAGCGACGCCGCGUGGGGGAGGACGGCCUUCGGGUUGUAAACUCCUUUCGCCAGGGACGAAGCGUCUUGUGACGGUACCUGGAGAAGAAGCACCGGCUAACUACGUG